GAUGUGGAAACUUGAUGACUUGCUUUGUGUUGCAUGAAGACUCUUGAGUGAAAGUGGGAAGGGUUCAGGAGCUGGAAUUGCCUGGAAAAGAUAAAAAAAUAUAAAACAGACAAAAAAAUCCUAAAAACUGCCCUCAGUGGCUAAAUAUUCAUCAGUCUUUAGGUAUUCAACCCAUGGCACUUUUUGUCCAGGUAUAAAGGGCACUGAUGUAGCUUCACAAUCAAGAUCUAGUAAGACAAGGAGGAACAAAAUUGUUCCACGUGAGCUCCUCAAGGAUUUCACAAGCUCCUGUGACCUGUCACAUCCACAUCAUCUGAAUGUGGGAGAAGGCAGCCUGCAGGUCCAGGGAGCAUGUAACAUCACAUAUGGAUCACACCUGAACUGGAGGGAUUCUGAAGGACAAGCCUGUCAGCAGAGAGAAGCUUUUGGCUGCAACCCAGGAAGAAGGAUUUAAAGCCAACAGACAAAAGGUUCAAUUAGUGCAACGAGAGCUUUCAACAUCCUCAAAGGCAUCUAAUUGUUCAGGACAUACUGAGGAUCUGCACUCAGAGAAAUCAAGCCUCGAGUGGAACUCCCCUGAAAGCAAAGGCACCGGGAAGCCAAGAUUGGUUUUCAGCAAGAUUACAGCGCUUAAAGGCACAUAAGGAUGAUGAGCAAGUGGAAAGGAUCUUAUGUCUUUACAUCCACAGGGAGUUCUGUGCCUCUGUCCUGUUGGCAUUAGUCAUAUUGAUAAUAGACUGUGUAGGAAAGUGCUGGAAAACACAAAAAGAAGUCGGAGCAACUCGAAUUGUCAUGGCAAUAUCCUCGAUUUUUCAAGAAGUUUGGUUCUGUUUAGCUAGUCACUUUAAUUUUCCUUCGCUAACUUGUCUCCAUUCUCUGCCAUAAUGAUAAUUCUUUCUAUGACUGUCAGCCCUUUGCAUUGUGACAGCCUAAAUUAAUGUUUUGAUAUUUCUCUCUUUGUAAGAAUACAACAAAGAAGACAACUGCCAAGGAUAGGACAGAAACUGUAUGAAUGUAAAACAGACAUUGUGCACCAAUAAAGCCAGAAGGAAUAAUUUUCACUUUA